UACGAAGGGUGCAAACGUUGCUCGGAAUUAUUGGGCGUAAAGCGCACGUAGGCGGCUUUGUGUGUCGGAUGUGAAAUCCCUCGGCUCAACCAAGGAAGUGCAUUCGAAACUGCGAAGCUUGAGUACUUAAGAGGAUCGCGGAAUUCCCGGUGUAGAGGUGAAAUUCGUAGAUAUGGGGAGGAACACCGGUGGCGAAGGCGGCUCUCUGGACCACAACUGACGCUGGGGCGCGAAAGCUAGGGGAGCAAACAAG
rnacentral:rRNA from 1 species